UCUCCGUUGGUGAACCAGCGGAGGGAUCAUUACCGAGUUUACAAACUCCCAAACCCCUGUGAACAUACCAUAUCGUUGCUUCGGCGGUUUCGUCCCAUCGCGCACGCGAGUGCCGUGGAACCAGGCGACCGCCGGGGGACCCAAACUCUUGUUUUUACAACUGUCUCUUCUGAGUGGCGUAAAGCAAAAAAUAAAUUAAAACUUUCAACAACGGAUCUCUUGGUUCUGGCAUCGAUGAAGAACGCAGC
rnacentral:misc_RNA from 1 species